UACGUAGGGGGCUAGCGUUGUCCGGAUUUAUUGGGCGUAAAGAGCGUGUAGGCGGCCAGGUAGGUCUGCUGUGAAAACUCGAGGCUCAACCUCGAGACGUCGGUUGAAACCACCUGGCUAGAGUCCGGAAGAGGAGAGUGGAAUUCCUGGUGUAGCGGUGAAAUGCGCAGAUAUCAGGAAGAACACCCGUGGCGAAGGCGGCUCUCUGGAACGCAACUGACGCUGAGACGCGAAAGCGUGGGGAGCAAACAGG
rnacentral:rRNA from 1 species